AAGAGUUCCUUUGUACGAAACCGAUUUGUAAACUAAAAAUCUCGUCAAUUCGAUUGGCUGAUUUAUUAAUUGAUAUUCAAUGAAAACGUUUUGAUUCCCCGUGACUCUUUAAAGAACCCCCUCUCCUCUUUGCGUCAAAAGAAGUUUUAUAUUACGCUUAUAGCUUACAUUUCCAUUUAGCUUCGAUUUCAGAACACUUUAAAAGUUCUUCGAUAAUUGGACGCACAAUAUUCCUGAAGAUAUAGGAAGAGUAAAGUAAUAUCAAAACCAUAAUACGAUAAUAUUACUUUUGCGCGCGUUGCAAUUUCUAUGAGGCAAGAAAGAGAUUGGCGCCGGGCGCUUCCAAUUGCACCAGAUCGCGUAAUAACACGACUAAGGACUACGUGCAUAUAUCCGUGCAUGUAUACCGCAAAGUCUUCAGAAUAUCGAAGCAUUAAUACCACGACGAAACGAAGCCCUCGAGUAUGCGCGUUUCGCUGCAACAAUUUCCUUGAUCGAUAGUUUUGCCAACAAAUAGAAACGUUCUCUAUAUCUUCCUAUUCGCAUAAAAAUAAAAUUCCAGCAAUCGAAUCGAUUAUUAUAAAUCUUCAUUACUAUUUAACUCGAUUAUUAUUUAAUCUUAUUUAAUAAAAAUAAUUGUCGCGGUCUAAAUUAGUCUAAAAUUACCUUAAACAUCGUUAACAUUUACGUCGUAAAAAAAUGGCAAUUAGUAUGUAUGUACAUAAUUUCACUAUGCGAGAAGAUGUUUCAUGAUUUCUGAAAACAAGCUAAAUUUUGGUGUAUUCCGUAGUAGUCGAUGGUCCCGCGACACUUAAACAUUCGCAAAGGCAGGACCGUGAAUUGCACGCACGGAUAAAGGCGCGACCGUGGCGAUUCCGACAGGAAUUCCCGAUGAGAUGGGCGGAAAGUACAAAGGUUCGACGCGCUUCGGCGGUUCUCGGUACGGUGGGCUUCCGGUCGAAUUCGGCUAGCUCCGAUCGGCCUCGUGCGCACUCGUCUAGGAUCGGGCCGCCCAGUGGGAUCUACAUCGUCAGAACGGGUAGUAGCGGCGCGCCGCGAGACCGGCAGUUUUGCGCCCCGUGCAACGGCCAAUCGGCCAGUUCGUCGCCGGCUGUUCGUGAAAGAGGUAUUUUCGCACAUCGUUCUGCGUUCGCUCUCCAAUCGGAGAUCUUUUGCAUCAUCGUCCAUCGUCCACCGAUUUUGUCUUCGCUAGUUUUUUCCUACUUGUCACCCAUCUAUUUUGCAUAGUUUCCUAAUUUCUAAUGCUCCUUUUUGCACGUACAAUUCUUUUUUCUUUUUUCUUAUUGGUUCUGCGAAUAAUGGAAUCUAAAUUUUUUUUGUAAUAAUAAUGUGCUUCAUAUAAAUGACGAAUAUCUUUUUAAAAGUCUAUCCGCUCUAUCAUGAAUAAUCGUAAGUGUGUAUUAUUCGUUGCCACGUAUAUUGGUAUGCGAGCGAAUUGUCGAGUGUUUGGUGACGUGUUAAAAUGCGGCCAUUUCCACCGGCCAUGAACGAGAUAGAGAGCGUGCUGCGUGAGAUAGAGAGUGAGAGAGAAAAAGGGAGCAUAUGCGUGUGAGAGAAACAAAGAAAGAGCUUAAAAGACAUCGGUAUUUUGAAUAAGUUUAUAACUCCGAAUUUCGCAAGUUCAUCAUCAAACACAGCAUGUUUGCGAAAAAGACAGAUUUACGGAUUUCCCGAUACUUUUCGUUCUAUUAUCAAAAUCUGCUUUCUUUCACUUCACUUUUUCUUCUUCUUCUUCUUCUUCUUCUUCUUCAUCAUCAUCAUCUUUUUUCUUCUUCUUCUGCUUCUUUUAUCCUAGUUGAAGCAGCAUGAAUUCAGAGAUUGAAAGAAAGAACGAUUGCCAAUUGUCAUACGUUCAGGUGCUGGAGGGUUAAUUCGAUUGGGAUUUUUGUGGAAAGUUUUUCGUUACAUAUUUUUGAAAAUAGUGAAACGCGCAAUUAAAGGAAAAAUAAAUUAAAAAACAAUAAAAAGAAAAAAAUAACGAAAAUCAGAUUUCUUAGUAUCCGGGGUACAAAUUACGUCGAGAAAAAAUUUGGAGUCGCGACUGUCACGCGUGCCGGCUAUUGCUGGUUCAGGCCCGCAUAUCAGUUAAUCUUGCAGUCUUUUGAUUUCAAUUCUUCAAGAAGAAUAGUGAUUCAACAGUUUUUUUGGUGAUGUCGACCGAAAUUCAAUAGAAGAAAUGGCGAUUGAUGUGGCGAAAAGAAAUGAGGAAACGUCACGUAACAGUGGUGCGCUGCCGGCUAACCUGUCGGUUAACCUCUUUCUCGCUGCUCACCGGAAGAGACGAACACGUGCACUUCAGUCAGAUUCUUAAUAGCUGACUCUCUGGUCAACGAAGGGAACCAUCGGUAGCUGAAUAAACCUUGAA
rnacentral:lncRNA from 1 species